rnacentral:rRNA from 1 species
UACGUAGGGUGCGAGCGUUAAUCGGAAUUACUGGGCGUAAAGCGUGCGCAGGCGGUUUUGUAAGCCAGAUGUGAAAUCCCCGGGCUUAACCUGGGAAUGGCAUUUGGGACUGCAAGGCUGGAGUUUGGCAGAGGAGACUGGAAUUCCCGGUGUAGCAGUGAAAUGCGUAGAUAUCGGGAGGAAUACCGAUGGCGAAGGCAGGUCUCUGGGCUAUAACUGACGCUCAUGCACGAAGGCGUGGGGAGCAAACAGG